rnacentral:tRNA from 1 species
GGGGGCAUAAGCUAAUGGUAAACUGCUCGCCUCCAGAGCGAGACUUGGGGGUUCAAGUCCCUCUGCCCCCG